UACGUAGGGGGCAAGCGUUGUCCGGAAUUAUUGGGCGUAAAGAGUGUGUAGGCGGCUUGGUAAGUCCGCUCUGAAAGCCAGGGGCUCAACCCCUGGAGGCGGGUGGAUACUGUCAAGCUUGAGUCCGGAAGAGGCGAGUGGAAUUCCCGGUGUAGCGGUGAAAUGCGCAGAUAUCGGGAGGAACACCAAUGGCGAAGGCAGCUCGCUGGGACGUGACUGACGCUGAGACACGAAAGCGUGGGGAGCAAACAGG
rnacentral:rRNA from 1 species